rnacentral:lncRNA from 1 species
UUACUCAGAAACCUCACCCAUAACACAUGGCUGUAAAAACCUGCUCGCCUUUCAACUUUUAAGGAGCAGAGCAGGUUUCCGGAGGAACCAGACUCAAGGGGAGCCCCAGGGAAGAGCCAAAGCAGCUGGGAAUUUGAUACCCCGGUGCUCCAAAGCUAAAAGAAGAAUUAGAAGAAAGCUGCAUGAAUAAAGAUGGGAUCCUUCAUGAUACAGAAAAGACCUCAGCAGAAAUGCUGGCCCAAUGGGAGGAUGCUAUGUGGGAAAAGAAGCUUCUUGAGCAAAUGGUUAAAGAAUUGCAGCAAAAGUUGGAGGACCGAGAAAAAACCUUCGAGAGAUUUAGAGACAAACUCACAAAGGAAAUGAGAGAAAGAGACGACCUUCUGAGAAAGAUGAAUGAGAGGAUUCAGAUGCUGGAACGCUUACUGAAGUUACUAGAAACACUAGAGGAACAGGACAUGAAGAAAGAAGAGCAGGCCAAAAGAGAGGCAGCUGAAAGGGAAAACGAGCCUCUUGAACAAAAGGUUAAAGAACUGCAGCAAAAAUCGGAGAACCAAGAAAAAGUCUUCGAAGUAUUAAGAGACAAAAUGACAGAGGAGUUGAAUGAAAGAGAGAAAGCCUCAGCAGAAGAGCAGAUCAGAAGAGAGGCUGUUGAGAGGGAAAAUGAGUCUCUUGAAAAACAGGUUAAAGAAUUGCAGCAAAAUUUGGAGGACCAAGGAAGAGUCUUCCAGAGAUUAAGAACUGAAAUGACAGAGGAGAUGAGAGAAAGUGAAAACGUCUCAGCAGAAGAGCAGAUCAGAGGAGAGGCCACUGAGAGGGAAAAGGAGUCUCUUGAAAAACAGGUUAAAGAAUUGCAGCAAAAUUUGGAGGACCAAGGAAGAGUCUUCCAGAGAUUAAGAACUGAAAUGACAGAGGAGAUGAGAGAAAAUGAAAAGGCCUCAGCAGAAGAGCAGGCCAAAAGAGAGGCUGCUGAGAGGGAAAAGCUUUUAGAGCAAAAGCUUAAAGAAUUGCAACAAAAGUUUGAGGACCAAGAAAGAGCCUUCAAGGUAUUUAGAGUCCAAAUGACAGAAGAGGUGAGAGAAAGAGACAAUUUUCUGAGAAAGAUGAAUGAGAGGAUUGAGAUGCUGGAGGCUGCAGUGAACAAUGAUAAUGACAAGGAUAAUGAGGAAAACACUGAAAAGUACUGAACUUCAUAGACACAGGAAGAUAAUGACAAAGAAAAUACUUCACAGCCUUUUGUUUUAAUCUCUGUUUGGGAGAAUAUAAAACAUGUGUGGUCACUAAUUACUCAGAUUUUUUGUUUGUUUCUUUUAAAUUCUGGUAAUAUUAAAAGUUUUCACAAGUGCUUUUUUGAUCUGGAUUAUUUCUAUCUAUGUAUGUACUUUUUCUUUUAUCAUUAAAGUUUUAAUGUAAAAAGUAGAAACAUCAUCUACUAUAGAACAUCAAUUCCUGGCCCACAAAGGAAAGAAUUAGUGUGGCUGGAUAAUUAAUUUAAGUGGAAAUGGAAGCAACUGAGUAGAAGACAAAGAGGUCAAGUUUGUAAUAUCUUGAAAAAAAGAAAAAUUUUAUUAAGUAAUGCUUCUGAAAGUCACAUAUGAAUAAUUAUACAAAUGAAUAUGUAUACUGG